GUCCAUUGGAUGUGUUGGUUCUAUCUUGUAAAUGUAUGCUUGGAAGUCUGAAAAUAACCUUUGUAUUCUGUAGCUUGAACACAUGGGGAUCCUUCAGAUAAAGCAAUAUGUCAUUAAUUAGGUCUCUUUUUUAUUGCUAGCAACUUACAUUAUAAGGUAGAUUGGCUCGUUAAGGCGCUCGCGCGCACACAUACACACACUAUUAAGUACAUAGGACAUUGGUUAUCAGGUUCAACCUUAUCAUACUUCAGUGUCA
rnacentral:misc_RNA from 1 species